UCCACGCCCUAAACGAUGAAUGCUAGUCAUCUCGGUGAUGCACUUAACAGAUUAAGUGUUCCGCCUGGGGAGUACGGUCGCAAGAUUAAAACUCAAAGGAAUAGACGGGGACCCGCACAAGUGGUGGAGCAUGUGGUUUAAUUCGAAAAUACGCGAAGAACCUUACCUAGCCUUGACAUUGAAGAAACACACUAGAGAUAGAGUGGUGCCCUUCGGGGAAUCUGAAAACAGGU
rnacentral:rRNA from 1 species